rnacentral:rRNA from 1 species
UACGGAGGGUGCUAGCGUUGUUCGGAAUCACUGGGCGUAAAGCGCGUGUAGGCGGUCCGUUAAGUCUGAUGUGAAAGCCCGGGGCUCACCCCCCGGAAGUGCAUUGGAAACUGACGAACUCGAGUCCCGGAGAGGAGGGUGGAAUUCCUGGUGUAGCGGUGAAAUGCGUAGAUAUCAGGAGGAACACCGGUGGCGAAGGCGGCCCUCUGGACGGUGACUGACGCUGGAGAACGCGAAAGCCGUGGGGAGCAAACAGG